CACCGCGGUUAUACGAGAGACCCAAGUUGAUGAAAAACGGCGUAAAGCGUGGUUAUGUAAACUAAAUAAUAGGGCCGAACGGCCUCAAAGCAGUUAUACGCACUCGAAGUCACGAAGUACAAUUACGAAAGUAGCCCUACCAACCUCUGAUCCCACGAAAGCCAUAAAA
rnacentral:rRNA from 1 species